rnacentral:rRNA from 1 species
UGGGCGUAAGCGCGCGUAGGUGGUAAUUAAGUCAAAUGUGAAAUCCCCGAGCUUAACUUGGGAAUUGCAUUCGAUACUGGUUAGCUAGAGUAUGGGAGAGGAUGGUAGAAUUCCAGGUGUAGCGGUGAAAUGCGUAGAGAUCUGGAGGAAUACCGAUGGCGAAGGCAGCCAUCUGGCCUAAUACUGACACUGAGGUGCGAAAGCAUGGGGAGCAAACAGGAUUAGAUACCCUGGUAGUCCAUGCCGUAAACGAUGUCUACUAGCCGUUGGGGGAUUUGAUCCUUUAGUGGCGCAGCUAACGCGAUAAGUAGACCGCCUGGGGAGUACGGUCGCAAGACUAAAACUCAAAUGAAUUGACGGGGGCCCGCACAAGCGGUGGAGCAUGUGGUUUAAUUCGAUGCAACGCGAAGAACCUUACCUGGCCUUGACAUAGUAGAGACUUUCCAGAGAUGGAUUGGUGCCUUCGGGAAUCUACAUACAGGUGCUGCAUGGCUGUCGUCAGCUCGUGUCGUGAGAUGUUGGGUUAAGUCCCGCAACGAGCGCAACCCUUUUCCUUACUUGCCAGCAUUUCGGAUGGGAACUUUAAGGAUACUGCCAGUGACAAACUGGAGGAAGGCGGGGACGACGUCAAGUCAUCAUGGCCCUUACGGCCAGGGCUACACACGUGCUACAAUGGUCGGUACAAAGGGUUGCUACACAGCGAUGUGAUGCUAAUCUCAAAAAGCCGAUCGUAGUCCGGAUCGCAGUCUGCAACUCGACUGCGUGAAGUCGGAAUCGCUAGUAAUCGCGGAUCAGAAUGCCGCGGUGAAUACGUUCCCGGGCCUUGUACACACCGCCCGUCACACCAUGGGAGUUUGUUGC